rnacentral:rRNA from 1 species
UACGGGGGGGGCAAGCGUUGUUCGGAAUUACUGGGCGUAAAGGGCUCGUAGGCGGCCAACUAAGUCGGACGUGAAAUCCCUCGGCUUAACCGGGGAACUGCGUCCGAUACUGGAUGGCUUGAGUUUGGGAGAGGGAUGCGGAAUUCCAGGUGUAGCGGUGAAAUGCGUAGAUAUCUGGAGGAACACCGGUGGCGAAGGCGGCAUCCUGGACCGGUAUUGACGCUGAGGCGCGAAAGCUGGGGGAGCAAACGGG